AGUGAACGCUGGCGGUAGGCCUAACACAUGCCAGUCGAACGGCAGCACAGUAAGAGCUUGCUCUUACGGGUGGCGAGUGGCGGACGGGUGAGGAAUACAUCGGAAUCUACUUUUUCGUGGGGGAUAACGUAGGGAAACUUACGCUAAUACCGCAUACGACCUACGGGUGAAAGCAGGGGAUCCUCGGACCUUGCGCGAUUGAAUGAGCCGAUGUCGGAUUAGCUAGUUGGCGGGGUAAAGGCCCACCAAGGCGACGAUCCGUAGCUGGUCUGAGAGGAUGAUCAGCCACACUGGAACUGAGACACGGUCCAGACUCCUACGGGAGGCAGCAGUGGGGAAUAUUGGACAAUGGGCGCAAGCCUGAUCCAGCCAUACCGCGUGGGUGAAGAAGGCCUUCGGGUUGUAAAGCCCUUUUGUUGGGAAAGAAAAGCAGCAGGUUAAUACCCAGCUGUUCUGACGGUACCCAAAGAAUAAGCACCGGCUAACCUCGUG
rnacentral:rRNA from 1 species